rnacentral:rRNA from 1 species
UGGGUAGUCCGUACGAGCGCACCCUAUCCUUAGUUGCCAGCGAGUAUGUCGGGAACUCUAGGGAGACUGCCGGUGACAAACCGGAGGAAGGUGGGGACGACGUCAAGUCAUCAUGGCCCUUAUGGGCAGGGCUACACACGUGCUACAAUGGCCGGCACAGAGGGCUGCGAAGUCGCAAGGCGGAGCGAAUCUCAGAAAACCGGUCGUAGUCCGGAUUGCAGUCUGCAACUCGACUGCAUGAAGUUGGAAUCGCUAGUAAUCGCGGAUCAGAAUGCCGCGGUGAAUACGUUCCCGGGCCUUGUACACACCGCCCGUCACACCAUGGGAGUGGGCUGUACCAGAAGUAGGUAGUCUAACCUUCGGGGGGACGCUUACCACGGUGUGGUUCAUGACUGGGGUGAAGUCGUAACAAGGUAGCCCUAGGGGAACCUGGGGCUGGAUCACCUCCUU